rnacentral:rRNA from 1 species
AGGAUUCCUUCGGGAUGAAACAUUUGUGACUUAGUGGCGGACGGGUGAGUAACGCGUGGGUAACCUGCCUUAUACAGGGGGAUAACAGUUAGAAAUGACUGCUAAUACCGCAUAAGCGCACAGUCUCGCAUGGGACAGUGUGAAAAACUCCGGUGGCAUGGGAUGGACCCGCGUCUGAUUAGCCAGUUGGCGGGGUAACGGCCCACCAAAGCGACGAUCAGUAGCCGACCUGAGAGGGUGACCGGCCACAUUGGGACUGAGACACGGCCCAAACUCC